rnacentral:rRNA from 1 species
GCAGCGAAACGCGAUAGUUAAUGUGAAUUGCAGAAUUCAGUGAAUCAUCGAGUCUUUGAACGCACAUUGCGCCCAUCGGUAUUCCUUUGGGCAUGUCUGUUUGAGCGUCAUUACAAACCCUCAGCGCAAGCUGGUUUUGAGUUGUGAGGAAAAAAUGCCCCUUGGGGCACGCACCCUCUCGCUUUAAAGUUGUACGCUCUGCUGACCUUUAGCUCGGACUAAAAACAUAGUAAAUUCUUGCUUGUUUUACGGAACGGUUGAAGGAUCGGCCUGAACAAUACCUUCUACUUCUAAGGUUUGACCUCAGAUCAGACAAGGAUACCCGCUGAACUUAAGCAUAUCAAUAAGCGGAGGAAAAGAAACCAACAGGGAUUGCCUCAGUAACGGCGAGUGAAGCGGCAAAAGCUCAAAUUUGAAAUCUGGAGCCUUCGGCUUCCGAGUUGUAAUUUGAAGAGGAUGUUUCGGUUGCGGCUUGGGCCUAAGUUCCUUGGAACAGGACGUCAUGGAGGGUGAGAAUCCCGUAUAUGGCUCCCGGCUUGCCUCCAUGUGAAACUCCUUCGAA